UUUCCGGUUGAUCCUGCCGGAGGCCAUUGCUAUCGGAGUCCGAUUUAGCCAUGCUAGUCGAGCGAGGUUAGCCCUCGCGGCGAACAGCUCAGUAACACGUGGCCAAGCUACCCUGCAGAGGGGGACAGCGUCGGGAAACUGACGGGAAUCCCCCAUACCGGUCUCACGCUGGAAUGCCGAGACCGACAAACGCUCCGGCGCUGCAGGAUGCGGCUGCGGCCGAUUAGGUAGUCGGUGGGGUAACGGCCCACCGAGCCGAUAAUUGGUACGGGUCAUGAGAGUGAGAGCCCGGAGACGGACUCUGAGACACGAGUCCGGGCCCUACGGGGCGCAGCAGGCGCGAAACCUUUACACUGCACGAACGUGCGAUAAGGGGACUCCGAGUGCGAGGGCAUACAGUCCUCGCUAUUGUGUACCGUAGGGUGGUACACGACCAAGAGCUGGGCAAGACCGGUGCCAGCCGCCGCGGUAAUACCGGCAGCUCGAGUGAUGGCCGAUUUUAUUGGGCCUAAAGCGUCCGUAGCUGGCCCUGCAAGUCCGUCGGGAAAUCCACUCGCCUAACGAGUGGGCGUCCGGCGGAAACUACAGGGCUUGGGACCGGAAGACUUGAGGGGUACGUCUGGGGUAGGAGUGAAAUCCUGUAAUCCUGGACGGACCGCCGAUGGCGAAAGCACGUCACGAAAACGGAUCCGACAGUGAGGGACGAAAGCUAGGGUCUCGAACCGGAUUAGAUACCCGGGUAGUCCUAGCUGUAAACGAUGUUCGCUAGAUGUGGCACAGGCUACGUGCCUGUGCUGUGUCGUAGGGAAGCCGAGAAGCGAACCGCCUGGGAAGUACGUCCGCAAGGAUGAAACUUAAAGGAAUUGGCGGGGGAGCACUACAACCGGAGGAGCCUGCGGUUUAAUUGGAGUCAACGCCGGGA
rnacentral:rRNA from 1 species